CACUAUGUGUGUGCGUUUGUGUGUCUGCCCACAAAAGGGUCAUAAAAGCAGGAAGCUUACUACACAAGAAAACAGGACCUUCAGAUAGGAUGUCCCUAUAAUAAAACACUUCAGCCUCCCCCACCAACAAACUGGUUGGAGAGGUGGUCAGAGACAAAGGAAUGUCUUUGAUCCUGCUGCUUAAACUAAGACUUACAAAUUUAAGUAACAGUUCACACAGGCAGGAGAAGCAGGUGUGUAAAAUUGAUGGUUGAGUGUUUUUUUGGAAGUCUAUGGUUAAAAAAUGGUUAAAAAAACAAAGAAACCUAACAUAUUUAUUCUGGGGGGUUUUUUUCAGUUAAUAAUAUUAGCACUAAAAACACUAAUGGUGCUGAUGUCACUACUGUCAUCAUUGCUGUCAUCUUUCCUGUCAUCAUUGCUGUCAUCACUGCUGCCAUUGCAUGGUACAUCUGGAAACGUUGGCAAAACCGAAGACAAACUGGAGAGCAAAAUGAUCAUCCAAACAAUGAGCAAGUGGAACAGCAACAAGACAUUCCAUUGAGAGAAGAGCAAGAAGAGCCAAACCCUACAACUUGUCCAACAGCUUGGUUUCAUAGCAGAACAUAAAUUAAUCUCAAAUAAACUGUGUUGGUUUGUGGUCAUGGACAUGAAUUUUUUCUUUUUCUGAAGUAAAAAACUAUAAGGAAACUGUUAGUUAGAGCCUUGUUGUUUGCUUUAUACAUGUGUGCUGAUAUGUAUUUUUCCUCUGCCAUAAAGAGUGCAACAUAUGUUGAACUUUGAACUGAUAAUAUUUGGUACAUAAGAAGAUGUUGUGCUUGUGAUAACUGCUACAUAAUUCUCUUUGUUGUCUCUCUGUAUAAACCUUCUGUUAUCACGUUAUUUCACAAAUUUCUAAGAAAAUGAUGAAGUGUUGACAUCAGAUUCAAACCAUCAAAGUUGAAGUUUGAAAGGACAUGUUUGUAAACUGUUCCUUGGUAUUACUAGUUUUAAACCUGGUGCUAGGGGUGGGCGGUAUAAACAGUAUACUGUAGGAACAAUAUAAAUUUGGCCAACGGUAGAGAUUUUGACUAUACCGCUCUACUGCAAUAGCGCAUGUUGAUGGUGUCAUCAAGCUGCGCCUGUUUUGGUCGAAAGCGCUGCAGCGGCUGCAAACAACAUAAUCUGCAAAUUAUGCCGGGCGACAGUAAUAGCAACGAGACAAAGCACUUUUGGAAUAUGGGCAAAGCCAAAAACUGCGCUUCCUCCACUUCCCUACCAUUGAUUCAUUAGUGUUGAAUUCUCUCGCAGCUGCUCUAUUCCCAUGUUGUUGCAGUAUAUUAAUGACUAACCUCAUAUUGUGGAUGGAUUAUCUCAGUUGUUCUCCUAACUGAAGUUUGGUUUGUUUACAGCAUCCUGCCAUGCAAUUGCAUUUGUCCCUAACCACCAGAAAC
rnacentral:lncRNA from 1 species